AGAGUUUGAUCCUGGCUCAGAUUGAACGCUGGCGGCAUGCCUUACACAUGCAAGUCGAACGGUAACAGGUCUUCGGAUGCUGACGAGUGGCGAACGGGUGAGUAAUACAUCGGAACGUGCCCGAUCGUGGGGGAUAACGAAGCGAAAGCUUUGCUAAUACCGCAUACGAUCUACGGAUGAAAGCAGGGGACCGCAAGGCCUUGCGCGAACGGAGCGGCCGAUGGCAGAUUAGGUAGUUGGUGGGAUAAAAGCUUACCAAGCCGACGAUCUGUAGCUGGUCUGAGAGGAUGAUCAGCCACACUGGAACUGAAACACGGUCCAGACUCCUACGGGAGGCAGCAGUGGGGAAUAUUGCGCAAUGGGCGAAAGCCUGACGCAGCAACGCCGUGUGAGGGAUGAAGGCUUUCGGGUCGUAAACCUCUGUCGGAAGGGAAGAACGGGCAUUGGUCUAAUAGGCCUUUGUUUUGACGGUACCUUUAGAGGAAGCACCGGCUAACUCCGUGCCAGCAGCCGCGGUAAUA
rnacentral:rRNA from 1 species